AAUAGAUACCCGGGUAGUCCACGCCGUAAACGAUGAGUGCUAAGUGUUAGAGGGUUUCCGCCCUUUAGUGCUGGCAGCUAACGCAUUAAGCACUCCGCCUGGGGAGUACGGCCGCAAGGCUGAAACUCAAAGGAAUUGACGGGGGCCCGCACAAGCGGUGGAGCAUGUGGUUUAAUUCGAAGCGACGCGAAGAACCUUACCAGGUCUUGACAUCCUCUGACAACCCUAGAGAUAGGGCUUUCCCCUUCGGGGGACAGAGUGACAGGUGGUGCAUGGUUGUCGUCAGCUCGUGUCGUGAGAUGUUGGGUUAAGUCCCGCAACGAGCGCAACCCUUGAUCUUAGUUGCCAGCAUUCAGUUGGGCACUCUAAGGUGACUGCCGGUGACAAACCGGAGGAAGGUGGGGAUGACGUCAAAUCAUCAUGCCCCUUAUGACCUGGGCUACACACGUGCUACAAUGGAUGGUACAAAGGGCUGCAAACCUGCGAAGGUAAGCGAAUCCCAUAAAGCCAUUCUCAGUUCGGAUUGCAGG
rnacentral:rRNA from 1 species